rnacentral:lncRNA from 1 species
CUGGACCCGGGGACCCCUGGGAAUUCCUCCUGGGAGAGCUCCACAAAUGACAGCAUGGUUGCUUUGGGGAUUUCAGCCAUCAGUGAUGUCUGUUGUUUUGGGUUUUCCUCCAAAGGUCCUUUUCUUUCUGAAAGAAGAAAGAAAAAAACCAGAAUUUCAUGAAAAAGAAAAAAAAAAAAAGGAAAACAUUUUUCGUUAUAUCCCAAGGUGUCAUAAAAACAGAAGGAACAGUGGGUGCGCAGAGUGGAUAUGGAGUGAGCAUGUGCAGUGGCUUGGCCUUCAGCCUCUUGGGUGGGCGUGAGCACCCACACUCCCACGGAUGAAAGCAUUCCCACCAGUGGUCGUGUUCUGUAGCGUGGACUCUGCACCAGGACCGCUGGCUGAAGAUGGGCCGCAUGGGGAACGCUCAAGCAGAAGUGAAGGAGACGCCCCCAGACUGCACCAGAUGGUCCACAACUUCCUCUCCUGUCUUGAGGGUUUUGCUGCUGAGAAGUACCUGGGCACAUUCUCUGGGGUGAUCUGGUCAGGCCUGGAAGACAUCUUCCCCGGGGAGCACCCAGGGACACGAGUCAGCAUGUGACCUGUGCCCGACGGUGUCAAGAGAGCGAGUGAUGGAGCAACCAAGGAGUAGGGGGAAAGGGAUGUCUCAGCAAAUUAGCUCCCUGACUUCUAGCCACGAGCUCUCUCUCCUCCGUUCCCCCAUGAACAUUCUGCCUCACGAACCAUCCUUGAAGCCUUUGGUUUGAAGCACGAGCUCUUAGGAAGAGCACCUGCAGUGCAGUUGGUGGAAUGGACUCACUGGGGUGGAGAGCACCUUGUUUUAUCCCACUCCUUACAGGAAAUUGUUCAGUUGUGCUCCUGGCUCCUUCACUCAGCCCCAGAUUCCAAAGAAAAAUCAGUACUUGGAAGCCAUGUUCUGACAACAAUUCUAUACAGAGGAUCCAUCUGGUGGUAUCCAGCUGAGAUCCCCUCUAGGAUUAUUCAGGCUCAAAUAACUCAUUGUGAUGUUUACUUCAAGUUGAAGAAUGUGCAUAAUUCAACACCCCAAGUGAUUUGCCAAAAGGGGGAGAAGGGCCCUCAGGACUGGGGAGCCAGGCCUCAUACACAGUCCCAGAGCUGGUGACAUAGGACAUGCCCUCGGAGGUCAUCUGGCCCUAUAGUUCCCAUCCCAGGGACCGGGACAGCUGAUGUGUCGCCGGGACUCAGAGCAUGUACUGCACACAGUUGGGAACAAACAGCCAAGUAAUAAAAAUUGCAAAUGACUUAUUGCA